GAUGAACGCUGGCGGCGUGCUUAACACAUGCAAGUCGAACGAAGACAUCUGAGUGCUUGCACUUGGAUGGACUGAGUGGCGGACGGGUGAGUAACGCGUGGGUAACCUGCCUUAUACAGGGGGAUAACAGUUGGAAACGACUGCUAAUACCGCAUAAGCGCACGGUAUCGCAUGAUACAGUGUGAAAAACUCCGGUGGUAUAAGAUGGACCCGCGUCUGAUUAGCUUGUUGGUGAGGUAACGGCCCACCAAGGCGACGAUCAGUAGCCGGCCUGAGAGGGUGAACGGCCACAUUGGGACUGAGACACGGCCCAAACUCCUACGGGAGGCAGCAGUGGGGAAUAUUGGUCAAUGGGGGAAACCCGUGAUGCAGCGACGCCGCGUGAGUGAAGAAGUAUUCGGUAUGUAAAGACUCUAUCAGCAGGGAAGAAAAUAGACGGUACCUGACUAAGAAGACCCGGCUAACUAACGUG
rnacentral:rRNA from 1 species